ACGGGUGAGUAACGCGUAUCCAACCUUCCCAUUACUGUGGGAUAACCUGCCGAAAGGCAGACUAAUACCGCAUAGUCUUCGAUGACGGCAUCAGAUUUGAAGUAAAGAUUUAUCGGUAAUGGAUGGGGAUGCGUCUGAUUAGCUUGUUGGCGGGGUAACGGCCCACCAAGGCAACGAUCAGUAGGGGUUCUGAGAGGAAGGUCCCCCACAUUGGAACUGAGACACGGUCCAAACUCCUACGGGAGGCAGCAGUGAGGAAUAUUGGUCAAUGGAUGGAAAUCUGAACCAGCCAAGUAGCGUGCAGGAUGACGGCCCUAUGGGUUGUAAACUGCUUUUAUGUGAGAAUAAAGUUAGGUAUGUAUACUUAUUUGCAUGUAUCACAUGAAUAAGGACCGGCUAAUUCCGUGCCAGCAGCCGCGGUAAUACGGAAGGUCCAGGCGUUAUCCGGAUUUAUUGGGUUUAAAGGGUGCGUAGGCCGUUUGAUAAGCGUGCUGUGAAAUAUAGUGGCUCAACCUCUAUCGUGCAGCGCGAACUGUUGAACUUGAGUGCGUAGUAGGUAGGCGGAAUUCGUGGUGUAGCGGUGAAAUGCUUAGAUAUCACGAAGAACUCCGAUUGCGAAGGCAGCUUACCGUAACGUUACUGACGCUUAAGCACGAAAGGUGCGGGUAUCGAACAGGAUUAGAUACCCU
rnacentral:rRNA from 1 species